CCAUUUAAAGAGGUACGUGAGCUGGGUUUAAAAACGUCGUGAGACAGUUUGGUCCCUAUCUGCCGUGGGCGUUGGAAGUUUGAAGGGGGCUGCUCCUAGUACGAGAGGACCGGAGUGGACGAACCUCUGGUGUACCGGUUGUGACGCCAGUCGCAUCGCCGGGUAGCUAUGUUCGGAAGAGAUAACCGCUGAAAGCAUCUAAGCGGGAAACUCGCCUUAAGAUGAGACUUCCCCGGGGACUUGAUCCCCUUGAAGGGUCGUUCGAGACCAGGACGUUGAUAGGUCGGGUGUGUAAGCGCAGUAAUGCGUUCAGCUAACCGAUACUAAUUGCCCGUACGGCUUGAUCCUAUAACA
rnacentral:rRNA from 1 species